ensembl:snRNA U4 U4 spliceosomal RNA
AUCUUUGCGCAGUGGCAGUAUCGUAGCCAAUGAGGUUUAUCCGAGGCGCGAUUACAGCUACACACAUGCUUAUUACGGUAGCUGCAUAAGAGGUCUUAAGAUCAGAUUGACUGAUUUCUUCUCCUUUAUUCUUCUUUCUCAAGA